AUUGAACGCUGGCGGCAGGCCUAACACAUGCAAGUCGAGCGAACGAACGGAGCUCUCUCUUCGAUUCAGCUGCCGACGGACGAGUAAUUCAUAGGUAUCUGCCUUGUCUUUGGGGAUAACGUCAGUUAACGGGACCUAAUCUAGCAUACGUCCUGAUGUAGAAAGUGGUGGUUCUUCAGUCCUAGCGCUAUUUGAUGACCCUAGUACGGAUUAGCUAGUUGGUUAGGUAAAGGCCUACCAAGGCGACGAUCCGUAACUGAUCUGAGAGGAUGAUCAGUCACACUGGAACUGAGACACGGUCCAGACUCCUACGGGAGGCAGCAGUAGGGAAUCUUGGACAAUGGGCGAAAGCCUGAUGGAGCCAUGCCGCGUGUGUGAAGAAGGUCUUCGGAUUGUAAAGCUCUGUUAGUUGGGAAGAAGAGCAGUAAAUUUAUCUCUUGAUGUCUUGACGUUACCAAAACAGUAAGCCACGGCUAACUACGUG
rnacentral:rRNA from 1 species